GCGUGGUUUAUUUGUGCACCUACCAUGCAGUUCGGAGCGCCUCGCAAGAGGAGCGGCAGACGGGUGAGUAACGCGUGGGAAUCUACCCAUCUCUACGGAACAACUCCGGGAAACUGGAGCUAAUACCGUAUACGUCCUUCGGGAGAAAGAUUUAUCGGAGAUGGAUGAGCCCGCGUUGGAUUAGCUAGUUGGUGGGGUAAUGGCCUACCAAGGCGACGAUCCAUAGCUGGUCUGAGAGGAUGAUCAGCCACACUGGGACUGAGACACGGCCCAGACUCCUACGGGAGGCAGCAGUGGGGAAUAUUGGACAAUGGGCGCAAGCCUGAUCCAGCCAUGCCGCGUGAGUGAUGAAGGCCCUAGGGUUGUAAAGCUCUUUCAACGGUGAAGAUAAUGACGGUAACCGUAGAAGAAGCCCCGGCUAACUUCGUGCCAGCAGCCGCGGUAAUACGAAGGGGGCUAGCGUUGUUCGGUAUUACUGGGCGUAAAGCGCACGUAGGCGGAUACUUAAGUCAGGGGUGAAAUCCCGGGGCUCAACCCCGGGAACUGCCUUUGAUACUGGGUAUCUCGAGUCCGGAAGAGGUGAGUGGAAUUUCCGAGUGUAGAGGUGAAAUUCGUAGAUAUUCGGGAGGCACAC
rnacentral:rRNA from 1 species